UUAGUCAAAGCCAAAGUGAGGCGUAUCAUUGUUAAUGAUAUCAUUGAAGUAUAUUCUGAUUAAA
rnacentral:tRNA from 1 species